AGGGGGGCGUCUUACACAUGCAGUCGACGAUGAAGCCUUUCGGGGUGGAUUAGUGGCGAACGGGUGAGUAACACGUGGGCAAUCUGCCCUUCACUCUGGGACAAGCCCUGGAAACGGGGUCUAAUACCGGAUAACACUCUGUCCCGCAUGGGACGGGGUUAAAAGCUCCGGCGGUGAAGGAUGAGCCCGCGGCCUAUCAGCUUGUUGGUGGGGUAAUGGCCUACCAAGGCGACGACGGGUAGCCGGCCUGAGAGGGCGACCGGCCACACUGGGACUGAGACACGGCCCAGACUCCUACGGGAGGCAGCAGUGGGGAAUAUUGCACAAUGGGCGAAAGCCUGAUGCAGCGACGCCGCGUGAGGGAUGACGGCCUUCGGGUUGUAAACCUCUUUCAGCAGGGAAGAAGCGAAAGUGACGGUACCUGCAGAAGAAGCGCCGGCUAACUACGUGCCAGCAGCCGCGGUAAUACGUAGGGCGCAAGCGUUGUCCGGAAUUAUUGGGCGUAAAGAGCUCGUAGGCGGCUUGUCACGUCGGAUGUGAAAGCCCGGGGCUUAACCCCGGGUCUGCAUUCGAUACGGGCUAGCUAGAGUGUGGUAGGGGAGAUCGGAAUUCCUGGUGUAGCGGUGAAAUGCGCAGAUAUCAGGAGGAACACCGGUGGCGAAGGCGGAUCUCUGGGCCAUUACUGACGCUGAGGAGCGAAAGCGUGGGGAGCGAACAGGAUUAGAUACCCUGGUAGUCCACGCCGUAAACGUUGGGAACUAGGUGUUGGCGACAUUCCACGUCGUCGGUGCCGCAGCUAACGCAUUAAGUUCCCCGCCUGGGGAGUACGGCCGCAAGGCUAAAACUCAAAGGAAUUGACGGGGGCCCGCACAAGCAGCGGAGCAUGUGGCUUAUUCGACGCAACGCGAAGAACCUUACCAAGGCUUGACAUAUACCGGAAAGCAUCAGAGAUGGUGCCCCCCUUGUGGUCGGUAUACAGGUGGUGCAUGGCCUGUCGUCAGCUCGUGUCGUGAGAUGUUGGGUUAAGUCCCGCGAACGAGCGCAACCCUUGUUCUGUGUUGCCAGCAUGCCCUUCGGGGUGAUGGGGACUCACAGGAGACUGCCGGGGUCAACUCGGAGGAAGGUGGGGACGACGUCAAGUCAUCAUGCCCCUUAUGUCUUGGGCUGCACACGUGCUACAAUGGCCGGUACAAUGAGCUGCGAUGCCGCGAGGCGGAGCGAAUCUCAAAAAGCCGGUCUCAGUUCGGAUUGGGGUCUGCAACUCGACCCCAUGAAGUCGGAGUUGCUAGUAAUCGCAGAUCAGCAUUGCUGCGGUGAAUACGUUCCCGGGCCUUGUACACACCGCCCGUCACGUCACGAAAGUCGGUAACACCCGAAGCCGGUGGCCCAACCCCUUGUGGGAGGGAGCUGUCGAAGGUGGGACUGGCGAUUGGGACGAAGUCGAAUCAUGUCGC
rnacentral:rRNA from 1 species